rnacentral:rRNA from 1 species
UACGUAGGGGGCGAGCGUUACCCGGAAUCACUGGGCGUAAAGGGAGCGUAGGUGGCCUGACAUGUCGACUGUGAAAACCCCGGAGCUCAACUCCGGACUUGCAGUUGAAACUGCCAGGCUUGAGGACGGUAGAGGAAGACGGAACUGCCAGUGUAGGGGUAAAAUCCUUAGAUAUUGGCAGGAACGCCGGUGACGAAGGUGGUUUUCUGGGCCGGUUCUGACACUGAUGCUCGAAAGCCAGGGGAGCGAACGGGAUUAGAUACCCCCGUAGUCCCUGAGCGGGCUGGCAAGG